UGAUACCAAGGGUCCAAAGGUCAUGUGUUUCAUGCUUGCAUGAAAAAACAUGACUUUGGGACCCGCAAAACAUGAGAAAGGAGCCCUAACAGGGCGGAUUUCUCAUGUUUUAGGAUUGUGAGAGCACAAAGUGCGGAACAAUCCGUUGGUAUCC
rnacentral:sRNA from 1 species